AUGGACCAUCUGUACUGCACACAAGACCCUGUGCCCGAGGCUGUGGGCGGCGACAUGUAGCAGCUGAACCAGCUCAGCGCGCAGCAGUUCUCAGCCCUUACAGAAGUGAUUUUCCACUUCCUAGCUGAGCCAAAAGAGGUGGAAAGGUUUCUGGCUCAGCUCUCUGAAUUUGCCACCACUAAUCAGAUCAGUCUUGGCCCCCUCAGCAGCACCGUGAAAAGCCUCCUGCUGGUCCCAAAUGGUGCCCUGAAGAAGAGUCUCACAGCCGAGCAGGUCCGGGCUGAUUUCAUAACUCUGGGUCUUAGUGAGUACAAAGCCACUUACUUUUCUGAAAAGUGGAAACAGAAUUCCCAGACCCUUGCUCAGUGGGCCAUAGGUCAGACUCUGAUGAUUAACCAGCUUAUAGAUAUGGAGUGGAAAUUUGGAGUGACAUCUGGGAGCAGUGAGUUGGACGAAGUGGGAAGUAUUUUUUUACAAUUAAAGUUGGUGGUUAAAAAAGGAAACCAAACUGAAAAUUUGUAUAUAGAAUUAACUUUGCCUCAGUUCUACAGCUUCCUACACGAGAUGGAGCGAGUCAGAGCCAGCAUGGAGUGUUUCAGCUGAUUUCUGUCCCCCUACAUCUCUGCCUUGCCACCCUCCCCUCCCUGGGUGACUGCUCUGAGAGGUACCUCACUCACAGGCCUGUUGGGUGCUCAUUUUGCCUUGCUUGCCUCUUGGGAGACCAGGUGUAAAGGUUUCUGAAAAACUACAGGAUUAAGUACUUUAAGAGCCCUACACAAUCACCCUGUAAACUCUUUGUUAAGGAAUCACCACCCAUCUCCCAGGACACUUUUUAGAUACUCAAAACAGAUUCAGGGAAGAAAAUGAGUUGAGUCACCUCCCCAUCAAAACUCUAGAGUCUACAGAUGGUGCCAUCACUCAAGAUACACGCAGACCACCCUUCCCCCAAAAGAACAAGAACUCAUUUAUGGCUGAACAAGAAGCAGACUGUAGGAAUGACACGUGUGGAG